CAGUCCCUUGGGGAUUUGGGUUCAUACCCAGGUAAACAAGAACACUCAUAUCUAUCAGGAUUGCUAGGAUCACACUUACUGUAAGCGCCGCACUGUGCAUAGAAAUCACACCUGUAUUUAGGUGUAGACCAGAACUCCUUCCAUUGAUUAUCACUCUUUUGCCACCUUAGCCACUUGUUGAAUCCUUGAUCAUCAAUCGUAAUUUUUAUGAUAAUAGAAGCAUCUUUGAUAUGGUAUAAUAAGUAUAACUCCUCUUGAUCUAAUUCAUAAGUGUAGUUGUAUAAAUCUGAGAAAGUCCUCCAUGGCCAAGGGGAGGAUCGCCAGUGAGGAUUUGAGCCUUUAUAAAGAAAGAUUUGCGGUAUCCCCCUUGGAUUGAACUUAAUCGAGUAGUCUCCAGUUCCUGGGUCAUCUUCUGAUCUCCAUGAGGUUAAGAUCCGCUCUAGACCUGUCUUCGGAUUUAGCGAAAUUCUCAUUCCAGGUAGAAGGGUAUCAGUAGGAUGAUCAAAACUUUGCCACACCAAUCUUUUAUUUC
rnacentral:misc_RNA from 1 species